GUUCCCUUAGUGUAAUGGAUCGCACGUAAGAUUCCGGUUCUUAAGAUCUCAGUUCGAUUCUGAGGGGGAACACCA
rnacentral:tRNA from 1 species